CGUUAGCGGCGGACGGGUGAGUAACACGUGGGUAACCUACCUAUAAGACUGGGAUAACUCCAGGAAACCGGGGCUAAUACCGGAUAACACAUGAAACCGCAUGGUUUCAUGAUGAAAGACGGUUUUGCUGUCACUUAUAGAUGGACCCGCGGCGUAUUAGCUAGUUGGUAAGGUAACGGCUUACCAAGGCAACGAUACGUAGCCGACCUGAGAGGGUGAUCGGCCACACUGGAACUGAGACACGGUCCAG
rnacentral:rRNA from 1 species